CCUACGGGAGGCAGCAGUGGGGAAUAUUGCGCAAUGGGGGAAACCCUGACGCAGCAACGCCGCGUGAGUGAGGAAGGACUUCGGUCUGUAAAGCUCUGUUAAUGAGGAAAAAUGGUAGUUGGUCUAAUAGGCUGAUUAUUUGAUGGUACUCAUAGAGGAAGCACCGGCUAACUUCGUGCCAGCAGCCGCGGUAAUACGAAGGGUGCAAGCGUUGUUCGGAUUUAUUGGGCGUAAAGCGCGCGUAGGCGGACCCGCAAGUCAGAUGUGAAAUCUCGAGGCUCAACCUCGAAACUGCGUCUGAAACUACUGGUCUAGAAUCUCGGAGGGGGAAGGGGAAUAUCGCAUGUAGGGGUAAAAUCCGUAGAUAUGCGAUGGAACACCAGAGGCGAAGGCGCCUUCCUGGACGAGUAUUGACGCUGAGGCGCGAAAGCGUGGGGAUCAAACAGGAUUAGAUACCCUGGUAGUCCACGCUGUAAACGAUGAACACUAGAUAUUGGAGGAUUUGACCCCUUCAGUGUCGCAGCUAACGCGUUAAGUGUUCCGCCUGGGAAGUACGGUCGCAAGACUAAAACGUCAAAAGUAGUAAGUAGGACGUGAGAACGUACGCCGACGGACGGACCACCGACGGGGAGGGGUUAGGAGG
rnacentral:rRNA from 1 species